UAGGGAAUCUUCGGCAAUGGGGGCAACCCUGACCGAGCAACGCCGCGUGAGUGAAGAAGGUUUUCGGAUCGUAAAGCUCUGUUGUAAGAGAAGAACGAGUGUGAGAGUGGAAAGUUCACACUGUGACGGUAACUUACCAGAAAGGGACGGCUAACUACGUGCCAGCAGCCGCGGUAAUACGUAGGUCCCGAGCGUUAUCCGGAUUUAUUGGGCGUAAAGCGAGCGCAGGCGGUUAGAUAAGUCUGAAGUUAAAGGCUGUGGCUUAACCAUAGUACGCUUUGGAAACUGUUUAACUUGAGUGCAGAAGGGGAGAGUGGAAUUCCAUGUGUAGCGGUGAAAUGCGUAGAUAUAUGGAGGAACACCGGUGGCGAAAGCGGCUCUCUGGUCUGUAACUGACGCUGAGGCUCGAAAGCGUGGGGAGCAAGCAGGAUUAGAUACCCUGGUAGUCCACGCCGUAAACGAUGAGUGCUAGGUGUUGGAUCCUUUCCGGGAUUCAGUGCCGCAGCUAACGCAUUAAGCACUCCGCCUGGGGAGUACGACCGCAAGGUUG
rnacentral:rRNA from 1 species